rnacentral:lncRNA from 1 species
AAAUCCUCUGAAGAGGAUCUGAGGCCGGCCUUCGGAGUUCUAUCGAGACUCCGUUUGGGGCUUUCAAGUGCUCACGCGCCCCAGCCAACGCCACCACGUACAGUGGUCGGGAAUUGGAAAAAUUCCCUUUUCCGACACGGAUAAAAACGGUGGGUUCCCCUUUUCCAUUUUAUUCUUUGUUGUUACAAUAUCUAUAUAUAUAUUCAGAAAAGGAAAAAUAUUCACCUAUGUGUUCCUCGAUCGACUGUGAUUCUCUUUUCUGUAUAAAAGGGUAUUCUGUUUUAUUCAAUCUCUCUAUAAAAAAAAACGUGUCUACAAAUUGGAACAAAAAGGGUUUUUAUAACCCUCUGUUACAUUUUAGGAAAGAAUCUUUUGAUUUCUUUCCUUGUUUAUUUCUUUUGCUGUUGUGACUCUUUCCUUCUUGCAGGUACCGACGAAAAAAAUCCAUCAGUGAAUUCGCUAACGUUGAUUCACCCGUUGAUUGCGGCGUGAUACAAGGCCGGAGUCACGGCGCCGAUGAAGCCUACUGAAACGGCGCGGGACUAAAGGGCGUGACGCUUGGGAUGGUUGCGGCGCCUAGGGUUUCUGAAACCCUAGGCCUCUCUGUCUUCCGUUAACAGAUUGGACCCCUUGGGCCCUAUGUAUUUUGGGUAGCAUACGGGCUUGGGUGUAAUUGGGCACUGGGUAGUUUUAGGUAUCUGGGCUAAGGGUUUUAGGCCUUUGGGUGCAAAUGUAAACGGG